UGCCAGCCGCCGCGGUAAUACGGAGGGUGCAAGCGUUAAUCGGAAUUACUGGGCGUAAAGCGCGCGUAGGUUGAUUGGUCAGUCAGAUGUGAAAGCCCCGGGCUCAACCUGGGAACUGCACCUGAUACUGCCAGUCUAGAAUACGGUAGAGGGUAGUGGAAUUUCCUGUGUAGCGGUGAAAUGCGUAGAUAUAGGAAGGAACACCAGUGGCGAAGGCGACUACCUGGACCGAUAUUGACACUGAGGUGCGAAAGCGUGGGGAGCAAACAGGAUUAGAUA
rnacentral:rRNA from 1 species